rnacentral:lncRNA from 1 species
UUUUUUUUUUUUAAAUUUUAUUUUCAGUUUAAAUAAUAUACAUACCACUACUGCUGGAAAAAUAUGACCUUUGAGUAUGAAUGUCAAGACAGUAAUGACAACUAAUUAAAUUAACCUCAGCUAUUUCUGAAUAUAUUUAAAUAAAUAAAUAAAAACAUGCUUUCCUUUACUGAAUGUCAAGAUGAAAGAAUGCUGCGUCUCGUCUAAGACAUCAAAGCCUUGAAAUAGUUUGAAGAAGAAAUGCAGUUUUAAUUCUUGUUGAAAGCAAAAGUAUUCCUAAGAGAGCUACUUCUUCCAAACCUUCUGCCAUUCAGUUUGAAAGAGAUUCAAGAUGUAGUCUAGUCCGGACCCUUCUCUGAAUGACACUGGGAUUUCUUCCUUCUGUACAAUGGAGAAGUGUAGUGGUCCAAAAAACUGUCUGGGGACAGAGAUCAAUCGUCACACAACCUCAAGGGAAUUACAGCUCAGACCUGCAUCAUUCACUACAGCCUAUCCCACAGCAUCCUGUCUCUAGCCACAGCUUCCCCACCUACCAUGCAAGGACCCUUCUGGGAAGGCAGCCCAUGGACGUGCAGUAAAAGUUGGCUGGUUGGCUGGGUAGGAGUUGUUUUGUUUUUUCAUUCCAUACAUCAAAUUUUAAUAGUUGGUAUUCACUCUGUUUUAGAUUCAAGAAUGCUAAGAAUGCUUUUUUUUUUUUUUUUUUUUGUUCCCCUUCUUAUAAGAUUUCUUACAUGUCUUAAUUUCUGAUGGUAUCUAUCUCUAAGCUAAUCAUUCCAAGUGUCUGUUGUAAUCAGUGGAGAUCUAAUCAGUAUCAUCUGGGGUAAUU